rnacentral:rRNA from 1 species
AGAGUUUGAUCAUGGCUCAGAACGAACGCUGGCGGCGUGGCUAAGACAUGCAAGUCGAACGGUCCAGUAUUUAUUUGUUUACAAAUUCUGCUGGAUAGUGGCGAAAGGGUGAGUAAUGGGUAGGUAACGUACCCCGUGCUUCGGGAUAGCGUCUGUUCACCUUCGGGUGAACUUCCGAAAGGGGCAGUAAUACCGAAUGAUAUCAGAAGUCGAUAGGCUUCUGAUCAAAGAUUUAUCGGCACAGGAGCGGCCUACCUCCUAUCAGCUUGUUGGUGAGGUAAUGGCUCACCAAGGCUACGACGGGUAGCGGGACUGAGAGGUUGACCCGCCACAUCGGGACUGAGACACUGCCCGGACCUCCACGGAGGGCUGCAGUAACGAAUCUUGCGCAAUGGGCGAGAGCCUGACGCAGCGACGCCGCGUGCGGGAGGAAGUCUCUCGGGAUGUAAACCGCUGUCAGGGGGAAGAAAGUCCACUCCGGUGGAUUGAUCUAACCCACAGGAAGUCACGGCUAACUUCGUGCCAGCAGCCGCGGUAAGACGAAGGUGGCAAGCGUUGUUCGGUAUUACUGGGCUUAAAGCGUGUGUAGGCGGAAAAGUAAGCGCCUUGUGAAAUCCCCCGGCUCAACCGGGGAAUUGCUCGACGAACUGCUUUUCUUGAGGCAAGUAGGGGUGCAUGGAACUCUUGGUGGAGCGGUGGAAUGCGUAGAUAUCAAGAGGAACGCCGGUGGAGAAAUCGGUGCACUGGGCUUGUUCUGACGCUGAGACACGAAAGCGUGGGUAGCGAACGGGAUUAGAUACCCCGGUAGUCCACGCCGUAAACGAUGCCUACUAGGUCGUGGUGGUUCUGACACCAGCACGGCCGAAGCAAAAGUGUUAAGUAGGCCGCCUGGGGAGUACGGUCGCAAGGCUA